UCCAGCAACAAUUUAAUUAAAUCAUGAACGCUCAGAAGGAUCUCUACCUACUUUUCGGGAUAGCAUCAGUAGACCUAUAAUGGCGAACUAUGUUCUUAACAACAGAGAUGUAUUAGUGAUGAAUAACGUGAGAAUGGGCGAGAGAGUAUGUUUGCGUGAGAGAUUAUGGACGAUUUAGUAUGAGAAAUUAAGAGAAAUCGUGUGAGAGUAUGAAAAAUAUUAUAAGAGCAUAGAGGUAGGUUGAGGGGGCGAAUGUAAGAGAGAAUAAAGAGAAUUCAGGUCUUAAACAUAGU
rnacentral:lncRNA from 1 species